GCUCUUUCUUACUUGGACUUUGCCUUGUUUUAUAUGUGUUUGCUAUUAAAUCAAAGAAGAGGAUGAAUUAUAAGAAACCAAUAAGGAAAAAUAUUUACUCUCCUCAAUGUAAAACCUGCUUUUCUCAGCUCCCCAGGUGACCCCAGGGUUGCCAGGGUCCCUUUGGCAUACCUGCCCCCCUCUGAGGGGGUAGAGGGAGUCUCCCACCAUGUGUUGGUCACCUGACCCUUGUGGAUUUCUGGGCAAAUGCUCUGAGGACCUUCCAGGUAGAUCAUAUGUCUCACAAUUUCUUUGCUCUCUUUUUUCUCUAGCUCUGCCUUUACAGUUUUCAACUUUUCCAGGAGCAGGAGAAAAUGAACACAGCCCGGGGAUUUGUGUUGUUCGAGGAUGUAUCUGUGGACUUCACCCAGAAGGAGUGGCGGCUGCUGGUUGAUGCUCAGAGGCUCCUAUACAGGGACGUGAUGCUGGAGAACUACAGGCACCUGGCAUCCCUGGGUAAGCACAGCUUCCUGAGUGGGUGCAUUUCCUGUCUUACAGGGUGUCAUGAGUUUGAGACUUGAGAUGCUAGAUUCAGAGACCUCUUAGGGGAUGGAAAGGAUGUAUUCUAUUCUCUCUCCCUGGUGAAAGGGUCUUCCUUGAUGAGGACCCCAUCAUUGUAGGGUUCUCCCUUGUGGUUCUUCCAAAGGCUUGAAUCCUAAGCAGCUUUGCCAAGUGCCAUGUCAUUUCCCACAACAAGUCGGAGCAGGGAGAGGAACCACGGAUAUUAACGGGAGGACUCCCAAGUCACAGCCACCCAGGUGAGUUAAUGAGGUCAGAUGGAAGCGGAAACUGGAUCCAAAGUGGCCCAGUUAAGAGGUUGGUGUCUUUGAAACAGGUUUUAGUAAUCUCUCUUAGAGCCUCCAGACUUUUCGAAGUGACUUAAGACUGAUGACUACCAUUCCUUAGACAUCAAACCUCCAAAUACCAUUCUCAUAUAUAAAUGUUCUUUGUUUUCUAUUUGACGUUUUUUCAUUUAGGUGCUUUAUUGAUUCCCUUAUGUUGUUUUCAGUUCAAGCUAUAUUUUUGUAAUGAGAAGCCUACACACUGAAAAGAGAGUUAGAAGCAGAGAAGAAAACAACAUCAGAAGAUGCUUUCUAGAAUCUUAAUUAAGCCUUUGAAUGAAUAGGUAACCCUCCAGUUAGAUCAAAUAGGAUAAAAGAAAGUGAUCAGGUGAAGCUAAUUCCAGUGAUGUUAGCCAUUGAGAUUUAUGCAAGAAGCAAACAUUCAUACAGUGAGAGAGGUGAUUUCCAAUGGACACUAUCCCAAGAUGAAAGAGUCACCCUCUAAAUAUUACUCAUUGCAAAUGAUGUUUGGUUGCAAAUGUCUGCUGGUGAACCUUAAAUAUAGAUAUCUACACAUAAUAUUGCAUUAGAUGUAGUGUCAAAUACAAACAAGCAUAUUGCCUCCUUGACUUUUAUAGAGAGUUGAUUGGUUUUUGUAGAAUCCAAUUGCUGCCUUCCUCAUCCUAGAUCUUCAUGUCUUUGUUUUUUUUUUUCCUCUUUUCAAUAAUGGCCUCCUUUUACCUUCCCUCCUGUGCCAAACACUCUGUAAAUAUGCAUCUAUCAAUGCAUCAUUUUAUUCAAUUAUUUACUAAGCACCUACCAUGCACCAGUCACAUUCUAAGCUUGGGAGAUACAAAACCAAAUCUCAACUCCUAUCAGUAGAUCCAAAAAGCCAAUAAAUGGGUAACAUGGCUGGGAGUAAUCAGGACUCUGAAAAAUUAAAGUCAGAUGAAGGGGAUGGAGACUGACAGGAAGUUUUGUUUUUUGAAGGGAAGUCAGGGAGGGCCUUUUUGGACGGGAGUAGUGGAGUGGAGUCUUGGAUGAAGGGAUGGAAUGAGCUAUGGUUAUCUGAGAGGUCCAGGUCGAGGGAACAGAAGAUGCCAAGCCUCUGGACGGGAGGGCACCUGGUGUAAUCAGUGAGCAACAAGGAAGUCAGUGAGACAAGAGGAGUUCAGUGAAGAUAAAGUAGCAGAUGAUGGCAGAGGUUAACUAGAGGCAAAGCUUUAUAAGCCUGCUAAGACUGAAUUCUACUCUGAGUGAGAAAGUAGGUAAGAGAAGAGGUCAAGGGACACUGCAUUUGGAGGGCAGAGAGAUGUUGGGCUCUAGCAAGAGAGACUGAGAAGGAGCACCCACUAGAGCACCCUAGGGUGUCCCAGGAGGCACGUGAACAAAGUGUUUUUAGAAGAAAGGAGUGAAAUCCAAUAUGCAGAUGCAAACACAGUCAGCAUUGCCCUUUUAUACCUCUGCAAGUUACCCAAAGACCACAAGGAAAAAGUUUUUAAUGUCAGUUCUAUUUUUGUUAUAGGUUGGAGGCAGCUGAAAUCCCAAACUUUAAAAAUAAAAGUGGAAAAACUGCCAAAAGCAAUGAAAAUCAGGCUUGUUCAUGGAAACAGAAAUAGAGAGGACGCUCCAUAGCUGUGGAAAUAGUGUUCAAACAUAUUAUACAGACAGUAGCUACUUGCAUAUUUUACCACAAAUGGAACUUAAAGUGUUCAGAUUUUUUUUUUUUUUUUGAGCAGUGGGAUUGUAACAGUACCCUGAAGGAUGUCCAGGUUCUGAGUAGAGCUAAGGACAGAAUAUGUGGUAAGUGUAGAACAUGAGUGGCUCUGUGGUUGAAAACACACAAUGGAUGGAAUUAAACAUCCUGAUCUGAUAGGAGCUGACAAUACUGUAGACUUGUGUGAGGAUCAUGUAUUGUGAAUUUAGAUAUAAAAAUCUAGUAUACAAUUUAAAGACAAAAAUCCAAUAUUAGAGUUCCUUGGUGGCCUAGCAGGUUAAGGAUUCAGCGUUGUCACUGCUAUGGCUCAGUUCCAUCACAUGCCAUGGGCACAGCCCCCCUCCCCCAAAAAAUCCAAUAUCAAAUUUCCGUUGUUAGCAUACUGGCUUCUCUUUGUUUUAUCUUCUACAGAAAAAUCAUGAGUUUGUAAGCAUACAACCAAUGUUAUUGCAUAAAAUGAAAAUAGCAGAAGAUAAUAAUCACUCAUAGCCAAAAAAUUUUAAGGCAAGGAUUAAUAAAUGUCCUGGGACCAGAGUUCCCAUUGUGGCUCAGUGGUAACAAACCCAACUAGUAUCCAUGAGGAUGCAAGUUUGAUCCCUGGCUUCGCUCUGUGGGUUAAGUAUCUGGCAUUGCCAUGAGCUGUGGUGUAGGAUCCAGUGUUGUUAUGGCUGUGCAGUAGGCUGGCAGCUGUAGCUCUGAUUCAACCCAUAGUUUGGAAACUUCCAUAUGCCACACCAAAAAAAAGGUCCUGGGACCAAGUUGAAUAGCCAGGUACUUGGAUUCUUACACAAAAGAAGAGAAAUCAGAGAGGAAGAAAAUGCAGUGUGAAAGUGGAGUUAGGGAGUUCCUAUUGUGGUGCAGUGGAAACAAAUCCAACUAGUAGUAUCCAAGAGGAUGUGGGCUCAAUCCCUGGCCUUACUCAGUGGGUCAGUGACCCAGCAUUGCUGUGGCUGUGCUGCUGUAGGCUGGCAGCUGCAGCUCUGAUUCGACCCCUAGCCUAGGAACUUCCAUAUGAAAGUGGCCCUAAAAAGCAAACAAAAAAAAGUGGAGUUAAAGAACAAGAUUUUACUGUAUAGCACAGGGAACUGUUUUCAGUAUCUUGUAAUAAACUAUAGUGGAAAAGAAUUGAAAAAAAUAUGGUUAUGUACAUAUAUCUGUAUUGUGUAUAACUAAAUCGCUUUGCUGUACACCUG
rnacentral:lncRNA from 1 species